rnacentral:rRNA from 1 species
CCUACGUGAGGCAGCAGUGGGGAAUAUUACACAAUGGGGGAAACCCUGAUGCAGCGACGCCGCGUGAGUGAAGAAGUAUUUCGGUAUUUAAAGCUCUAUCAGCAGGGAAGAAAAUGACGGUACCUGAUUAAGAAGCCCCGGCUAACUACGUGCCAGCAGCCGCGGUAAUACGUAGGGGGCAAGCGUUAUCCGGAUUUACUGGGUGUAAAGGGAGCGUAGACGGCAGCACAAGUCUGGAGUGAAAUGCCGGGGCUUAACCCCGGAACUGCUUUGGAAACUGUGCAGCUAGAGUGCAGGAGAGGUAAGUGGAAUUCCUAGUGUAGCGGUGAAAUGCGUAGAUAUUAGGAGGAACACCAGUGGCGAAGGCGACUUACUGGACUGUAACUGACGUUGAGGCUCGAAAGCGUGGGGAGCAAACAGGAUUAGAUACCCCAGUAGUC